rnacentral:lncRNA from 1 species
GACAAUUUAGCUAAGUAUAUUUAUUGAACCCAUCAACAAAUAACAAUAACACAGCAAUUUUUUUUUCCCUACCUGAAAUGAAGCUUUUCAUUGAUUAACAAACAAAAGUUACAUUUCUUCAGCAGAACAAUCACAGCUUGAACUAAUAAUUGAAAAUGUUGCUAAAUCGUGACUUUUCAAUAGCUAAGGCACCAAAUCCCAAAAAAAAAUAAUAAUAAGGAAAUUACUUAAGUCACAGGGCUGUGACUUUUUUUUUUUUAAUUUAACUCAUUAACAAUAACAAAGAAAAACAGGAAAUUACUUAAGUCACAGGGCUGUGACAAUAAUAAUAAGGAAAUUACUUAAGUCACAGGGCUGUGACUUUUUUUUUUUUAAUUUAACUCAUUAACAAUAACAAAGAAAAACAUCUCAUUUCCACGUAAAAUGAAACUUUUCGUUGAUUGGAAAGCAAAGAACAAAGAAAAGCUGUAUUUCUUGCAGCCAAACAAUCACAGCUUGAACUAUCAAUAAAAUGUUUAAGUAAG